rnacentral:tRNA from 1 species
UGGGGUUGUGGCUCAGUGGUAGAGCACUUGCCUAGCAUGUGUGAGGCCCUGGGUUCAAGUCUCAGCACCACAA